rnacentral:lncRNA from 1 species
CCCAGUCCUCGUGAGUCUGUAAUGAGGCCUGGAAGAGAGCACACUUUGGCAGCCUCCGAAGUGCUCCCCCCAAGCGAGGGAAGCCAGCUCAUGCUAAUCCCAGAUGGGCAAACCUGGAGGCCUCUGGCCUCUUCAAAGCGUGAACACACAGUCAGCACUUACCAAGUAUGCACCCCACACCUAACACUGGCCAUGAACUAUCUAUUUUAAAAAUAUUGGAGGCUGUGGUAUGUUAUAGUGACUUGAAUUUGGGGGAUUAAGUUUGUUUUAACCAGGAAAUACAGGUUGUUUCCAUCUUCCAUGUGAAAGACGUGUCUAAAAUAUAUGCAUGCUUUUAUUUGCCCUCCAUAGAACUGAAGAAAAUCGAGUCUUUCUGUGAUGGUGAAGGAUCUUGCUGCAGCCGGGGGCAAUCAUUCUGAAAUUGCAGCCUUGUCAUAGAUCAGCAUUUACAGCACACCUGGGGACCAUGUGGACCAAGGAUGGGCAUCAACCCCUGCAAGGAAGCAGGUUUUGUUUUAAAGAAAUCUCUGAUGUCAGAGUAUUUUACUAGGUUUUGCCUUUUACUUAUCAAACCAGAUCGGAACUCUGUGCAGGGGCUGGCUGGGUUCCCAGUGAGGGGCUGGCUCCCAGGUAAUCAAGUUUUGUUUAUUCUUCAUUUAUGAGGCACAUUCAUCUUCCCCAAGUAGAGGGAAAGUGGUGCCGAUGGCAGAAGCCCAACUUCAGCUGAACCCAAGACCAGCUUGGGCCUUUAUAAUCUGACUGAAGUCAGAAUUCCUUAAAGUCAUCUGUCUCCCCAAAUUUAUUUCCAACCCUGAGCACUUGAAUUAUUCUAAGGGAAAUGGAAGUGGAGAGGCAGGAGGGGGUGAAAUUUACCCCUGUUUUUCUCAUUAACUCCUUAUGAGGGUUUAGAGAUUUGUCACUAAUCUUAGGGAAAUAUAGAUACAUUUCGUUUGGUCCAAGACAAUACAUUUCUGAGUUUACACAUUGAGAAGAGGAGUCUUGGUUUGUCUGUGGAUGAUUAAGCUCUGUGUUAAGACCAGCCCCCGAGUGCCCCACACCUCCCAAAGUUCAUGGCAGUGUCCUCAGGUCUCUGGAAUGCCAGCAGGCCUUAGCAAGCAGCAGUCUGAUGAGUGAAGUGUAAAGGAGUCAGAAACAUACGGAUUGCAUUUCCCUGAGAAAAUAGAUCACUUGAAAAACGAAGGGGCAAAGUGCUUGGGAAAAUGCAUUAUGGAUUUUGUCGAGGCCAAAAAGGAUGUAAACUACUUCAGAUAUUCUCUAAAUGCCACAUGUGAGCAGGCAUUUCAAGCAACACACUCUGUGUGGGAGUGUAUAUAGGAUUGUGCAAGACUUGGGAACUUCACCAAGACCAUGUCCAUUUGUGCAUCCUCGAAGGCCCUCUAAGUGGUUUUGCAAACAGUCAAAAAGAAUAUACACUGACAAGACAAGUGCUAUUAUCAAAGGGGGAAACUGGAAUUUCACUCAUUGUCCUUUGUAAGAAAGAUGCCCUGCCCUUUUUUCUAAUGUUCUGAGUUGAAAAAUAUCAAAUGGAACAAUCAAUGCAAAGGUUUUCUAUAGACUUGUGGCUAAUUUUUUAAGAUGUUUAAAAUUGUGUGGCUGCAAACACAUCCUGCUUUAACCAGGACACAUUUUAGCAAUCUUCCUAAAGAUUGUUGUCAAAAUGGAUGAAAGAAGAGCCCCAAAACAUACUCUUCACAGCUAGCUUGCCCAGAGACGAGGAGAUGGCAAAACCCAGCCCAGUGACCCCCAGUUUCCCCCAAGGUUGCAUGCCACCUCCCAGCCAGGACUCCCAGAAGCAAGGAAGGCUUCCUCUCAACCUACCAGGCUGGUCCUGACCCAGGCCCUCAUGACGUUCUGGGCAGUGAAUCACCCACAGCAUCAUACUCAGGCCUUGGCAGAGCCUACAGGGUGAGGAACCUGGGAGAGCAAAGCAGACGGGAAGG